rnacentral:lncRNA from 1 species
CUGUAUUUUAUUAAUUUUCAAAAUUUUUGUUGUUUAUUUUCUAAUUAUAAAUACACCAUUAUAUUUGUGAGAUCGAGUAAAUAAAUUUUCAUUAUUUAUUUUCUUUAUUCUGUGGAAAAUUGAGAAAGUUAUGAUGUUUUUACGUUUUCGUUGAAACUUUUUUCUUUUAUUUUUUUGCUACCGGAAUAGUAAUCAAAUGUGGGGUUGAGGAAGAUGAAGUCUCCCACACAUCCUCUAAUUGCUAAGCACACCCCGGUGAGGCCCCCUCCAUUGGGCCUAAAGCAU